UCAAACGAGUGAAUUCAGUUACUUUCGUAAUCGUUAGUUUUUUUAAGUUUUAUCAGAAAUCUGCAACCAAAUUAAUAAACUGGACGAAAUUUCAAGAUGGAAAUUGAGUACUAUGAUGUAACAGCAGAGUUAAAUGCUAGAGAAAUAUUGCGGUACCUAAAUAACAUGGGAAUUCAAAACAUUAGUGGAGAGGUCCUCAAAUAUUUCAUAACUGAUCUAAAAAAACUUAUCAAGUAUGAUUUGGAGCAGAAAAAUCUAAAAGCGAGUGGACAGAAUCAAACACCAGAACCUUCAGGACCUGAGAGAUUGCACAGUGCUAGCACUUUUUCAUCAAGGAUAAGAUCGAAAUGCCCUCAAAGUGCCCCAGUCAGUUGUAACAGAGAUUGUCAAAGAAGAAAACCCUUAGGUUCUCGUAAUGUCCAUUCUGCGCCGAGCAUAGGUCACCGGAAACCAGAAACGAACACCGCUGAACACUAUAAAAGAUCAUGUUCAUGUGUAAGAGUGGUGGAAAAGAAACAAGAUGUUAUCUCAAAAGAAAAGAUUCCUUCGUCUAAUAGUAAUUUAAUCAAAGUUCCUCAGCAGCAAGCCAUAAAGAAGUGUGAUCCAGUGUCACUGUAUCACCAUUACACAUCAUUGUGGGCCAAGUAUAAGCCCAAUGUGCCCGGUGAAAAUAAUUGGUCCGAUUUGAGAUGGAAUGUCAGACAAAAAAUGGCUGGAAAUGUACCUAAACCUGUAGUUAGUAAAGUUCCUGAAAGUCAAAAUCUUGACAAAAAAAGUUCAUUGAAGAAAUGAACAAAAUGCAGUUUCAAGCUAAUAAUGUGCUAUCAAUUCGACAAUAAUUAAUGCAGGUGCUUGGUUUCUGUAUAAAAUAAAAUCACUCAAAUAUCA